UGAGGCCUUUUGUAUCCUGCUUGUAUGUACUUCUAUACUUUUGUGGCACUUAAUUGCCUAUGUGCAAUAUUGGACAUAUUGGUCUUGUUUUGUAACUUCUAACCGUGCCAUAACUUUUGAUACAUGUAAUGAAUCAUGACCUGAUUUUAAAUGUGUUUGCAACUUGUAUACGCAAUGUGCUCUUUAUGCUUAGUUAUGCCUUUUCCUGUGCUUGUAGACUUUUCUUAAGUAGGGUAGCAGGAACGAGAAAAGGGGACCGUGACCGAGGGCUUAGACAACCCUGUACUUGUGAGACAAAUUGAUAGACAGUUUCAUAUAAUUUAAUAGGUCCCUAGUACCGAAUAUGAAUCGAACAUAAACCCGAAGAUCCGAUCUACUAGUGUAUAAUGGAUUAAC
rnacentral:lncRNA from 1 species